ensembl:lncRNA
UGUUGUUUACAGUACAUGUUGGUUUGUUUACAUGUUCUGUAGUGUACAACUUACGUUUUUUUGUUUACACGUAACAGGUUGGACAGGUUUGGUUUUGUUACAUGUAGGUUAGUGUAGAUGCUGUUUUACAGUACAUGUUGGUUUUGUUUACAUGUAUGUUCGUGUACACCUAUGCUCCUGUUAAUCACCAUGGGUUUCGGUUUACAUUAUUGAUGUUCAGUGUUACACUUGAUGUUUGUUUACAGUACAUGUUGGUUGUUUUACAUGUGUGUAUGUCAGUGUACACGUAUGUUUGUUUACAGUACAUGUUGGUUUGUUUACAUGUGUGUAUGUCAGUUACACGUAUGUUUGUAACAGUCAUGUGGUUUUUCCCUGUCUGUUAUGUACACAUAGUUUGUUACCACUUGUUUAAAUGUAUGCUUACAUGCAGUUCAGUUUCACAUUUCAGCCCUGUGACCCCUAGAACAUAUUAGCCCUGUUGACCCCUAUAAAUCUCAGCCUGUUGACCCCUAGAACAUAUUAGCCCUUUGACCCCCUAGAAAUAUCAGCCUUGUUGGCCCCUAGAACAUAUCCGCCCCUGUUGGUCCCAGAAACUAUCAGCCCUGUUGGUCCCUAGAACCUAUCAGGCCCUGUUGGUCCCUAGUAGAACAUAUCAGCCCUGUUGGCCCCUAGAACAUAUCAGCCCUGUGGUCCUAGACACAAAAAACAUCUCCGCCCCUGUUGGUCCCUAGAACAUAUCGCCCUGUGGUCCCUAGAACAUACAGCCCUGUUGCCCCCUAGAAAACAUAUCAGCCCUGUUGGUCCCUAGAACAUAUCAGCCCUGUUGGACAUAUCAGCCCUGUUGGUCCCUAGAACCUAUUCAGCCUGUGGUCCCUAGAACAUAUCAGGCCCUGUUGUCCCUAGAACAUAUCAGCCCUGUUGGUCCCUAAGACCUAUCAGCCCUGUUGGACAUAUCAGCCCUGUUGGUCCCUAGGACC